rnacentral:tRNA from 1 species
GCCCGUGUAGUCCAACGGCAGACGAGCAUGCGGUCCGCCCUAGGCGGACGAGACUCCGCAGUGCGGAGUCGAGAGCAGCGCAGGCCCUGGUAUGGCGGAGAUCGUGGUUCGAUUCCACGCGUGGGCACCA